rnacentral:rRNA from 1 species
GGGUGAGUAACGCGUAGGUAAUCUAUUCUAAGGUAUGGUAUAGCUCUACGAAAGUAGGAUUAAUCCCAUAUAAUCUUUCAGAUACAUAAGUAUCUUUAAGCAAAGGUAUAUCCGCCUUAGGUUGGGCCUGCGUUGGAUUAGUUCGUUGGUAAGGUAACGGCUUACCAAGACUUCGAUCCAUAGCCGGGCUGAGAGGCUGAUCGGCCACAUUGGGACUGAGACACGGCCCAGACUCCUACGGGAGGCAGCAGCUAAGAAUCUUCCGCAAUGGUCGAAAGACUGACGGAGCGACACCGCGUGAAUGAUGAAGGCCUUUCAGGUUGUAAAAUUCUUUUAUAAGGGACGAAUGUAUGGCUUUGGGCCAUUCUGACAGUACCUUAUGAAUAAGGUCCGGCUAACUACGUGCCAGCAGCCGCGGUAAUACGUAGGGACCAAGCGUUGUUCGGAAUUACUGGGCGUAAAGGGUACGCAGGCUGUUUGAUAAGUCAGAUGUGAAAUAAACGGGCUCAACCUGUUUGCUGCGUCUGAUACUGUCAUACUAGGGUAAUUGAGAGGAAACCGGAAUUCCUGGUGUGGGGGUGAAAUCUACAGAUAUCAGGAAGAACAUCAGUUGCGAAGGCUGGUUUCUGGCAAUUUACCGACGCUGAGGUACGAAAGGCAGGGGAGCAAACAGGAUUAGAGACCCUGGUAGUCCUGCCUGUAAGCGUUGUAUACUAGGUGAUUGAUGUUUUAAUAUACUGAUUGCCGGAGCUAACGCAUUAAGUAUACCGCCUGGGGAGUAUGCCGGCAACGGUGAAACUCAAAGGAAUUGACGGGAUCCCGCACAAGCAGUGGAGCAUGUUGUUUAAUUCGAAGAUACGCGAGAAACCUUACCAGGUCUUGACAUAUAACAGACGCCUAUAGAAAUAUAGGUUCUUUUCGGAGCUGUUAUACAGGUGUUGCAUGGUUGUCGUCAGCCCGUGCCGUGAGGUGUUGGGUUAAGUCCCGCAACGAGCGCAACCCUUAUUCUUUGUUGCUAACGGUUCGGCCGAGCACUCGAAGGAAACUGCCGGUGACAAACCGGAGGAAGGUGGGGAUGACGUCAAAUCAUCACGGCCCUUACGACCUGGGCUACAAACGUGCUACAAUGGACGGUAUAAAGAGUUGCGAUAUCGCGAGAUGGAGCUAAUCUCAAAAAACCGCCCUCAGUUCGGAUUGGAGUCUGAAACUCGACUCUAUGAAGCCGGAAUUGCUAGUAAUCGCGCAUCAGCAUGGCGCGGUGAAUACGUUCCCGGGAUUUGUACACACCGCCCGUCACAUCACCCGAGUUGAAAAUACCCGAAGCGCCUGAGCUGACCCUUGUGGAGGCAAGGCUCGAAGGUAUGUUCGGCGAGGAGGAUGAAGUCGUAACAAGGUA